CGCGUUUAUGAAUCCGUGCUGAGAUUUCGUCAGACACCAACCUAGAGCUGAUCAGACUCACAAAAUUAGUGAAGUU
rnacentral:pre_miRNA from 1 species